rnacentral:tRNA from 1 species
GGUUGCGUAGUGUAGAGGUUAUCACCGUGGAUUCUGAGAAGUUGCUUCGAGAGAAGUACAAGUCCCGAAUAUUCCAUUAACCCCGGUUCGAAUCCGGGCGCGACCA